ACGACGCGUCACUGCAACCAGAAAAUACAGUAUAGCUGUUCAAAUGAAACUUUAUGCACAACAAGCUUCCAUUCAAACCUCAAACUGUUAUGCGGAUCUAGUUUGACUAAACGUAGAUACUGUAGUUGUGUUAACAUGACAGCCAUUGAAACAUCUUCUUGUUUGCAAAGCCUGAUUUGUCCAUCCAUGCAGAUAACAUGCUCCGGACUCUGUUGUGCCGUCUGAGGAUACAGCAGCCUUUUGAGGAGUAGAACAUGUUCCUAUGGCUUCACCCCUGUCAAUCUUGUCGGACCCUGUCCAGCUGCAUGUGACUCCACCUAGAACUCUAUUCUAUCUAUAUGUUCAUCGUAGGACCUGUCAUUCAAACACACACUCCCAACAGCAUCAGAGGACUAUCAGAGGAGACAGGAAGCGAGAUGUUUGGUAAUGUGUCGCCAUGUUUCAGCGCCGGUGUUGUGUCGCUGUCAGCUGUCAUUGGUCAUUCCACCUCCACCAGACAGGGGUGUCAGUAUACAGAGGAGGCUCUAUUCAACGGCCCCUAUUAAAUCAGUGAUUAAACCGGUGACCAUGCCUGGAAGUGGGAAGAAACUUCCUAAAGGCCCUAGGACCAAACAACCAUCCAGAACCAAUCAGCCGACCCCAAAGGAGGACAAGGUGAUGCCGUCCACCAAUCAGAUUAGAGGACUGGGAGAUGCCUAAUGGAUGUAUCUAUUUGAUUUAUUUAACCUUUGUGUUUUUUGUAAUAAAAAAAAUAUUAUAAUAAUAAUAUUCCCUAGGGUUAUUCAACAAUCAAAAUGAUUUGUAGCUCAAUGACUGUCAACACAGUUACAUGCUUGGUUCGACACUGAGGGAGAUGACGCAUCAGUUGUCACAAAUAUGAGGCAUUUUCGGGAAGGUAGAAAGAAUUUCGAAUGUGCGAUCAGGGACUGAUGCGUAUCGGUGAGUCAUUACAUCCCCAUCAUUAAUAUAUGCAUGUUUUUUGGGGCUUUAUAUGCUUGUGUUUAUAUUUGAGUUGAAACUUUAAAUUGCCUAUAUGUAUUGAUUCACUGUACGUAUUUAUAUAUUUGCAGACUUACAUUUCGGUGUAUUUCUUCAUUCUGGCAAACUGUAAUAAUUCAAACAACCAAUCCGAUAUCUCAUCAACCCAGUGACUUGUCUGGAAGAAGCUGAGCCUAUUGCCUGGAGCCGCAGGUCAUUUAGAAGAUGCCAAUUGUCUGUGGUCUUGCCAUGUCAAAUGUUAUUCACAUUCAUAUGAGCCAUGAAGAUCUACAGCACAUACAUUUGGUGACAGCUGUCAUCUCCUUUUAUGAAGUUUGUUGUGUGUUUGAUUUGAUAAAAUAAAGUAGACUGAACUAACUUG